rnacentral:rRNA from 1 species
AGAGUUUGAUCCUGGCUCAGAUUGAACGCUGGCGGAAUGCUUUACACAUGCAAGUCGAACGAGACCUUCGGGUCUAGUGGCGCACGGGUGCGUAACGCGUGGGAAUCUGCCCUUGGGUUCGGAAUAACAGUGAGAAAUUACUGCUAAUACCGGAUGAUGACGUAAGUCCAAAGAUUUAUCGCCCAAGGAUGAGCCCGCGUAAGAUUAGCUAGUUGGUGGGGUAAAGGCCUACCAAGGCGACGAUCUUUAGCUGGUCUGAGAGGAUGAUCAGCCACACUGGGACUGAGACACGGCCCAGACUCCUACGGGAGGCAGCAGUGGGGAAUAUUGGACAAUGGGCGAAAGCCUGAUCCAGCAAUGCCGCGUGAGUGAUGAAGGCCUUAGGGUUGUAAAGCUCUUUUACCAGGG